rnacentral:tRNA from 1 species
GCGGAAGUGGCGAAAUAGGCAGACGCGCCGGGUUUAGGUCCCGGUGCCCGAAAGGGUGUAGGGGUUCAAGUCCCCUCUUCCGCACCA